GGGUGGCGGUGCGGCCCCCGGCCCGGUAGCGCUGGGACGGGCCGGGCCGGGCUCCGUGGGCCGCCGCCGGGCCCUGUCCGUGGCCUCGCAGGGAGCCCUCAGGGCACUGCCCGGCCGCCCUUCCCAAGGGGUCCGUGAGAAGGGGUGUACCGCUACCCACCGGCCCGGCCCCCGCCUCCCCUCUGUCCCCUUUGAGCUGGGCCUCCCCGCGAGUGAGCGGGAGCUGUGGGGAGGGGAGGGGAGGGGAGAAGGGCCGGGGAGGAGCGUGCGUGUCCCCUCGGCCUCUCGCUGGGGCUUUUGAUGUCCCACAGUGUUCGUGAGGGUCGGUCCGGCGGCCCCGUGGUAACUGGCCAGAGCUUUGGGGGUUGCGCCUCCGGGCGGGUACGGUGCUCGAUGCCCCUUACGCUGUCUCUGCCCUAGCUGCGCUCCGGGAGAGCUGACACCAGCGUAGGGGAGCACCUGCGCCUUCAGAAUCCCACUUCAUUUUGCCUUUCCUGAGUGGCUCCUAGAACCCAAACUCCAGCCUGCCACUUCCCCCCUUUGAAAGAUGUCUUUUAAAAGUGCUUUUUCUUUUUGCUUGAAGUCUGUCAUCUGCCAGUAGGAUGCUUCACUUCUGCAUCAAAACUUGUCUGCCACUUGUUUGAUUUGCAGCUGUACCUCUGCUAUCUGAUCUCUCCACAGGUGCCUGUGACUCUCCCAACUCUUGACUACACAAGAACUCUCAUCUUGCUCUGAAGACUGAGACCUCCUUAUGAAAAGUCUUCUUUUCUGCUCUGCCACCACCUCCUCUGCCAAUACACAGGCAUCAGUGUUCUAGGAAUGUCAUCAGGCAUCCAGAUAAAACCAAAGACUGCAGUACAGAAAACCAAGACUACUUCUUUGCCAUGUUCUCCAGAACCUGCAUUUAAACCACUGCCAAAGCCUAGUGACAAGCUGAAUCCUAAAACCAUUGAUCCAUUUCGUGCUUAUUCUCGACCACCUUCUGCAUUUGCUGCUCUUUAUGCUAAUGGUGGCAUUCCAUGCAGGUUAGUGCAUGGUUCAGUAAAGCACAGACUGCAAUGGGAAUGUCUUCCUGAAACUGUUCCCUUUGAUCCUCUUCUUCUAAUAUUGGCAGAGGGUCUAAGAGAGACAAAACAUCCCUAUACGUUUGUUUCAAAGGAGGGUUUUAAAGAACUGCUUAUGGUUGAAGGUGCUACUGAAAAAGCAAUUCCCUUGUUGCCUCGUCUAGUUCCAGUUUUAAAGGCUGCAUUGGCCCAUUCGGAUGAUGAAGUAUUCGGAAGGGGAUUGGAUGCUUUAGUUCAACUGAGUGCUGUCAUUGGCCCAUCUCUUAAUGAUCAUCUUAAGCAUCUACUCACAAAUCUUUCAAGGAGAUUAAUGGACAAGAAAUUUAGAGAAAAAGUUACUGUUGCUUUACAAAAGUUGGAGCAAUAUGGUGGAAAGGCAACUGUGGCUAUCAUCAAAUCUAAAAUCCCAACCUAUUGUUCUAUCUCGUCUUGAACAAGAAAACUGUAGUGAUUUGUACUGUAAGGUGAAGUUUGGAAAGAAACUGCCUGUGAACAUCACUGACACUUAUUUGGGAAGACUUCCUGUGUCCCCUCCAUUACUCAGUCAAAUGGGAAGAGACUACACAAGAAAAUACAGGAUUGUAAUAUUUGGAACAUGGUGACUUUUAGUAGCUUUUUUUCCCCCACCUUUAAAAAAAGAAAAAAUAAAAGGCAGAUGCUUGUAUUAGAAUUCUUUGGUGAGUGUAUCCUUCUAAUUUGCCUCUUUUUUUCAGUACAUUUUUCUAAAAAAUUCUUCGUAAUAGAUUUGUUUAAUGAUUCCUAACUCAAGACAGUAGGAAGUGUCAGCACAUAGGAAGCAGUCCAUAUGAAGCACAAAACAUGGAUGAAUGAGCUUUGUCAAAUCUGAUUUAACUUCAAGCUGACCUUGAAGUCUUUCUUCCUGAAGUUUGAGAUGGCUCCCUUGUUAUUUCAGGCUAUCCUGGACCAUUGCAUUGUGUAUGGAAUGGGUUACUCCUGCAGAAAAUGUCUAUCCCAGAAGCCUUUUUACCAUUAUCAGAGGAACUUAAAAGUCAUUCACCCUGACGUUCACCUGUGCGCCAUGCGUGCCUUAGUCCUUUGUCUCUGUUCCUCAUGGUGCUGCUGCAGUUGGGAAGCAGUGCCCGAGUCAGACCAUCUUCCACCAGCACCAAGCAGUGAAAGGAGGCAGGCGAGGAACUGGGUAGCGCCUGGCUCUCGCAUUCACCACACUGCUGCUUCACAAGACCACUCUCUGCCGUUUGGUAGCUUACACAAAGCAGGACAGACAGCAGGCAUUUUCUGGGACUCAGUCCAGCAUAUCUAGGGCAGAGUCCAUUUCUCUUUUAAGAGCAAGGAGACUCCUAGAGCCUGGAUAGCAGACUGGCAUUCAAGCGUGUGGGUACGUGGAGUAGGAAAGGCAGGAAAAUCAGGACAUACACGUUCCCUGUCCAAGACAGAGGGAGGAUGAGGGGGAAGCACCUUUGCUGUUCUCACUUAAUCAUGGGCAAAGAUAGGUCUGUAUACCCAGGCACCAGAGAAGACCACGCUCAAAGCCUGAAUGCUCUGUCAUUCCCUAUGUAACUUCUUAACACCUUGUGAAUGAACAGGCCAUUCUUUGCACUGGGACUGUGAAUUAAACCUUUAACCUUAGGCUGUACAGUGCUACUGCAUUGAUAGUUGUGCCAAACCAGUACUCAGCACAAGGAGGCGAUUUAAAAAAGGCACGUGCAUAUAUAUAUGACUGUUUAAGCACACACCAGAGGCUCUUAAUGCUACAAAAAAAAAAAAAAAUCUCAGAAACCCAUCCCAGGAAACUGAGGUGGAGCCUCUAUAUUCAAAUAUGCUCUGCUGUGUUCCUUCUCACUCUUACUGUAAGCAUGCCACAAUUUCCUUAGUUAUCACAGAACACCAGUAAUAGGGACAUACUUCCAAGACCCAUUAAUUUGGCUUCCAAGUCAAAAUAGAGGAAUGACAGUUCUCUGAGGCUGGCAACGCUUGCCCGAGAUAUGAUUCAAAGAAAAGGUUCCUGCAGCCUUCCCCUGGCAGAUCACACUUCUAGUCUGUUUUAAGAUUCAGACUGGGUGGGACCUGAGCUUUAGAGUUUGAUUGAGGGUUUCUUGUGCUUGUCUCCUGGCACUGUUCUGACUCCAGUCUCACAGCUUGAGCUAGAACUGGCAAGCAUAUCCUCUCUAUGCCUGCAGUGUAUUUUCACACGCACCAGGUGCAUCUCUGGCUACCGUAUACAUCAGUGGGCUUUCCCGUUCCAGGGUCUGAGGUGCAGUCAUUUGUUAGGCACACUGCUAGGGAAGGUUUUGAGCAGACAUGCUCCAACGCCAGCCUUAGUGCCAAAGGAGUGUUCUAGAUGAAGAAGACACUAUAGUUGUCAAAGCCCCGGGAGCAGCAGGUGUGCUGUGCCCCUGUCCUGAAUGUCCUGAUUCUGAUAAGCAAAAGGUAAUAGUAGAACUAGCAGUAGUCCAGAGAGAGGGCUAAGGAUGAUUAAAGGUGUGAACUGGUUUCCCUAGGAGGAAAAAAUAAACAAAUAAUUUACAGCUUAGGAAAAGGGUACUGAAUGAAGGGCAGUAACAAUAGCCACUGUUUUUCCAUAACACCAAAACAUGUGGAAAACAAAAAUAUUGCAUGGCAGGUCUAAAACACAGGCAGAUUUCCUGCAGGAAGGAUAGCAGGAUCAUUUAAUUUUGCUUUUGGCAUUGUUAAAUGCUCAUGGAAGACAGGACACCUUACUCCUGGAGUAAGGUGACUCACUGCAUGCUGAGGAAAGAAAGGAACCUCAUCGUUACCUUUUUAGAUCAGUCUCCUACCUACUGGGAUAUUAAAAUAAGGUUUUCCUACAGCUGUGAUUUAAAAGGGAGCAGCCACUACUGUCCUUUGUGAAAAAUGUAAUCUGAAAAGGCUGAAGCCAUGUUAAUUCCUGAAUCAAGUUUCUUGAAAGACUUGGAUUGAAUCCUAACCUCAAAUCUAAUUUCUGAAACUAAAGAAUGUGAAUUACACACUUUGCAGCUCAGAGGUCUUAAUAGAAGAUCAGGUCUUAGUAGAUAGAGACAAAAAUUGAUGCAGCGAGAUACUUUUUGCAAAAAACAUUGCCACCUUUGAAGCUAAAAGCAAGCAAAGGUGAGGUAAUUGGCAUGAUAAGAACAUGUGCUCUGAAUACUCAGAAGAGGAAAAUAAGAAAUCUAACAGACAUGAAAAACUGUGAAUCACAUUGGAAAAGGAAAGCAGGCAAUUCCCUACUGAAGGUACUAAUUUUCUUCAUAAAUGAAUCACUCAGCCCAUCACUAUAAUUGCUGUCAUAUCCAGAUUAAUCUGUCACGUAACUUCUAGAACUCUGCAGACCUCAGCUGGGAAAUGAAUCUCAUCUGUUUAUGAUGAUCAUUCAGUUUUAGCAGAGCAAAUGCCUUUCAUUUGUAUUGAACGUGACUGACAAGCUAGAACCGUGGAGCACUGCCAACAGAUAAGAGACUACCCAAAACCUAUUGCUAAGGAUAUACAAUACAGCCACAGUUAGAAAAGCUGUUGUCUUUCACCCCACCAAAAUCAGUGGAUUAAAAUCAGAGAAUCAUUUACUAGGUAGCUGUGUGCACAAGAACAACCCCAAGGAAUAACUACAGAUGCAUAGAAAAAAACCCCAAUUCUAGAGCAUCUUUGCUAUUUCCUGUUCAGCUUUCCCUGUUCCAAAUGGUUAAAAAUCUGUCAUUCACUAACUGCAUUCAUCUUUCUAGUCUUGUACUCUACUUGAGAGUUUCUA